AUAUUUUCAAAUUAUGUUUUAUUGUGAUUAGUGUCUAGUUUACCUUCUUUAUUAAGUGUCUUAUUUACAUAUGGCAAUAAUCUAAUGAAUAUAUUACAAACAAAUGAAUCAUGCUGAACGGGUAUAGCUUAGCAUUAUACCUCAUUAACCAUGAACAUAUAUAUGUUUUUAAUACCAGUAAAAAAAGAAAAAAAGCAAAUUGUUCAUUCUUAACUUGUUUCCAUCUAUAAUAUUAAACAAAAACGAUUGUGUGUGUUUAUAUAUAAAUUCAUGGCUACAGGCAAAGUAUAUAUAAACAUGAAAAAGAGCAUAUGCAAUUUAUCUACUAAAGACAUAUGAUUGCAAAACAUAUAUACAAGACAAUUUUUUUUGAUGGUCCAAGCACAGUCUUACUCUAAAAUAUACAUAAUGGUAAUUUAGUAUGCACAUAAAAAAAUUAAAGCUUACAUACAGACUGCAAAUUAAGUAUGUAUUCUUUUAGUAUACAGAUUGUUUUUGCAUUCCUAGCCAAAAGUAAAUAAUUAAAAGAGGUAGGAUAGUUAGACCAGCACCAUUUGAUACUAAAGGAAAACUGUCACAAUUUAUUAUUAUUAUUAUACACGUAAAAUGGUCUUUGUGUGUAUCAUUUUGUACACAUAAGUAAUACCUAUUCUUAGUGCUUCUGUUUUUUUCUAUACCUAAAUCGGGCAGCUAUAUUUAGCACUCUUUGUUCAGAAGAACCUCUUAAUCAUCUAGGGACAAUAUGCUUCUUUGAGAGUUGUGCUAAUCACAAAUCCUAAAGUCAUUUGGAAAUGCAAUGCAUCUCAAGAACAUGGUCUCAAUCGGUUUAAUUUGGCCUAAUUGCAUGUGGUCUUGGCAAGUGUUUGACCAAAGAGAAAUAUGAUGCUGCUUCCACAAAGUAAGGGUAAGCCAGGUUAUCCACUGCAAAGAGGUAUAAAUGUAUAUGUAUAUGUUACAAAAUAAUACACAAGAAGGAUAAGUUACUUUACAAAAUUAUAUCAACUUUAUAUCAAAUAUACCUUACCAAAUGUAACAUAAUUGUGAAUAAGAGACAGACAUAGGUAUAUUUAGUUAGUUAACAUUUCCAUUAUCAAUACAAUUGGAUUAAAUGGAAUAGAAAUACAUAGUGGUAUAAGAAUGCUUACAAUAGUAUCACAGUAAAACAGGUGUAAAUUGACUGUUCAGUUUAAUCCAAUUGUAUUGAUAAUGGAAAUGUUAACUAACUAAAUAUACCUAUGUCUGUCUGUACCACGCAAAGUUGACAAAUAAAAAAGUUAUUUAAAAAUAAAAAUUGUGAAUAAGAGAAUUGGCUCAAUUUUAGAAGAAUUAAAAUGUCAAACAGAUAUAUGUAUUAAAAGGACCCUGCUUUAA